GUCUAAAGUAUAAGCAACUAUACGGUGAAACUGCGAAUGGCUCAUUAAAUCAGUUAUCGUUUAUUUGAUAGUACCUUACUACAUGGAUAACCGUGGUAAUUCUAGAGCUAAUACAUGCUAAAAACCCCGACUUCGGAAGGGGUGUAUUUAUUAGAUAAAAAACCAAUGCCCUUCGGGGCUCCUUGGUGAAUCAUAAUAACUUAACGAAUCGCAUGGCCUUGCGCCGGCGAUGGUUCAUUCAAAUUUCUGCCCUAUCAACUUUCGAUGGUAGGAUAGUGGCCUACCAUGGUAUCAACGGGUAACGGGGAAUUAGGGUUCGACUCCGGAGAGGGAGCCUGAGAAACGGCUACCACAUCCAAGGAAGGCAGCAGGCGCGCAAAUUACCCAAUCCCGACACGGGGAGGUAGUGACAAUAAAUACUGAUACAGGGCUCUUUUGGGUCUUGUAAUUGGAAUGAGUACAAUUUAAAUCCCUUAACGAGGAACAAUUGGAGGGCAAGUCUGGUGCCAGCAGCCGCGGUAAUUCCAGCUCCAAUAGCGUAUAUUAAAGUUGUUGCAGUUAAAAAGCUCGUAGUUGAACCUUGGGCCUGGCUGGCCGGUCCGCCUCACCGCGUGUACUGGUCCGGCCGGGCCUUUCCUUCUGGGGAACCUCAUGCCCUUCACUGGGCGUGCUGGGGAACCAGGACUUUUACUUUGAAAAAAUUAGAGUGUUCAAAGCAGGCCUUUGCUCGAAUACAUUAGCAUGGAAUAAUAGAAUAGGACGUGUGGUUCUAUUUUGUUGGUUUCUAGGACCGCCGUAAUGAUUAAUAGGGAUAGUCGGGGGCAUCAGUAUUCAAGCGUCAGAGGUGAAAUUCUUGGAUUGCUUGAAGACUAACUACUGCGAAAGCAUUUGCCAAGGAUGUUUUCAUUAAUCAGUGAACGAAAGUUAGGGGAUCGAAGACGAUCAGAUACCGUCGUAGUCUUAACCAUAAACUAUGCCGACUAGGGAUCGGACGGUGUUAGUAUUUUGACCCGUUCGGCACCUUACGAGAAAUCAAAGUUUUUGGGUUCUGGGGGGAGUAUGGUCGCAAG
rnacentral:rRNA from 1 species